UACGUAGGUGACCAGCGUUGUCCGGAUUACUGGGCGUAAAGAGCGCGCAGGCGGUCGUUCAAGUCGAGUGUGAAAGCCCCCGGCUCAACUGGGGAGGGUCACUCGAUACUGAUCGACUUGAAGGCAGGAGAGGGAAGCGGAAUUCCCGGUGUAGUGGUGAAAUGCGCAGAUAUCAGGAGGAACACCGAUGGCGAAGGCAGGUCUCUGGGCCACUACUGACGCUGAGAAGCGAAAGCAUGGGGAGCGAACAGG
rnacentral:rRNA from 1 species